GUGUCUCCACUAAACUCUCAUACAGAAUUUCAUUUGUACUUACAAUCAUGUUUCAUCUACCAUCACGCUCAUCACGUCGUCAUCGAUACUCCACCACCAAUGUCUCAAUUGUUAAUAUCCAACAAUACCAUUCCCGAUUCCAUAACCCCUACAAUACACCACCACCAAUGCCUCAACCACUAAUACUAAAUAGUACCUACCGUUCAUGAUUCCACCACCACUUCCACAAAUGCCCCUAUCAUUAAUAUUCAAUGGUACCGACACCACCACUACCACCAUAUAUGACUUAACCUCUAAUAUUAAAUGGUACUAUUUAUGAUUGCACCACCCAAACGCCAUCACUACCACCACCAAUGCCUCCCCCGCUAAUAUUCAAUGGAACAAUUCCCAAUUUCACCACAUCAACAUCAUCAACACCACCACAAAUGCCUCAACCACUAAUAUUCAACAAUUCCUUUCAAGACUCAACCAACACCACAACCACCGACGCCUCAAACCCUUAUAUUCAAUUACACUUUUUCCAAUUCCACCACUUCAGCACCACAAAUGACUUAAUCAAUAAGAUUCAAUAGAACCAUUCACGAUUUCACAACCAUCACCACCACCACCAUCAAUGACUCAAUCAUUUAUAUCAACAACACCGUUUAUGAUUGCACCAAACAUGCACCACCAUCAAUGCCUCAAUCGCUAAUAUUGAGUGGUACUAUCUCAGAUUAUGUUGACCAACCAUGGCCCCCUCAAAAUGUUGCAUUCCCUUCAAUACCAACAAUCCAUAGAAUAUAUAAUGGUGGUGACAAUGAAGAACCCCCAAAAUGAGUCUUAUGGUAUGGAAUUGUUGUGGCUCUGAGCAAUCCGACUUUUAGGAAGUAUUUUUCUCUAUUCUUCACUAUCAUCUUCCAAUCAUUGUUUUGCUCCUGGACACUCACAAGACGCACCACCAAAACCUAGCAGAUUAAUUUUCUCCAUUGAUAUAGUUAAUGUUCCGGCUAUUGGAGUUGUGGAGGAAUGACUUUAGUUUGGAAAGAAGACUUCUUUGUUGUCGAUGGAGAUGCAACUAACAACGAGGAGAUACAUUGCACCAUUCAGGAACAUUAGUGUUGGGAUUCGUGAAGUUUUGAUGAUUGACAAAAAGAUAAAACACACCAUUUAACAUGGUCCAAAGACAUAUGGCAAGCGGGAACAAGAGGGAUCAACUUAGCGCAUGAGACAUGCAUUUCAAAGCAUUCAUUAUGCAGUGUAAAGUAAACAUAUGUAAAUAAUAAAUAAAUAAAUAUAAGUUUAGAGA